rnacentral:rRNA from 1 species
AACCGUUCAGGGGUAAACCUGAGAAACCCAAAAGAUCGAAUGGGGAGAUUCAUCGUCAACGGUGCCGGCUCCCGUUGGUGCGCGAUGCUCCGAAUGGGCGCAUAAUUGCGUCCCAUCGCGGUGGCACGCCACCUUCGGCUUGAAUCGUUCCGGUGCCGUAGUCGUGCACUUCUCCCCUAGUAGAACGUCGCGACCCGUUGUGUGUCGGUCUACGGCCCGAGCGGGUGACUGUCGCGUCGCGUUUUCGCGUACGCGGCAGACCCUCGGACGCCUGGCCGGCUGCACGACGGUACUCCCACGGUAUCGGGCCGCAACCAAUCCGAUUCUCGAAUCGUAUGUGCGUCUAGCCCGCCGCAAGCUAGAUCAGUUCUUACCCGGUGGUCGGACCUAGUGCCGUCCCCGGGCCUGAUCAGCUGUUUGCAGGCGGUGUCCUCGGACUGGCCAAACUUCGAAUUACCGGUCGGCGACGCUACUGCUUUGGGUACUCUCAGGACCCGUCUUGAAACACGGACCAAGGAGUCUAACAUGUGCGCGAGUCAUUGGGAUGCAUAAACCUAAAGGCGAAAUGAAAGUGAAGGUCGUUCCUUUUGCGUCGACCGAGGGAGGAUGGGCCGCGUUACUAGGCGGCCCCGCACUCCCGGGGCGUCUCGUUCUCAUUGCGAGAAGAGGCGCACCCAGAGCGUACACGUUGGG